AUCGCCGCGAGGCGGGGUCUGAAGGAAGCGCGGAGCAAAAGUGCGAGUUGAUGGACAAAAACCGGAUAUGAGGCGCGAGCGUCGGACGAGCGGGCGACAAGCCGCGAAGUCCAUAUCCAUCAAGGAUGCGGAGCGUAGAUCCGGCAACUGUGCACGGAAGGCGACUGAA
rnacentral:ncRNA from 1 species